rnacentral:rRNA from 1 species
GAUGAACGCUGGCGGCGUGCCUAAUACAUGCAAGUCGAGCGAACGGACGAGAAGCUUGCUUCUCUGAUGUUAGCGGCGGACGGGUGAGUAACACGUGGAUAACCUACCUAUAAGACUGGGAUAACUUCGGGAAACCGGAGCUAAUACCGGAUAAUAUUUUGAACCGCAUGGUUCAAAAGUGAAAGACGGUCUUGCUGUCACUUAUAGAUGGAUCCGCGCUGCAUUAGCUAGUUGGUAAGGUAACGGCUUACCAAGGCAACGAUGCAUAGCCGACCUGAGAGGGUGCUCGGCCACACUGGAACUGAGACACGGUCCAGACUCCUACGGGAGGCCGCAGUAGGGAAUCUUCCGCAAUGGGCGAAAGCCUGACGGAGCAACGCCGCGUGAGUGAUGAAGGUCUUCGGAUCGUAAACCUCUGUUAUUAGGGAAGAACAUAUGUGUAAGUAACUGUGCACAUCUUGACGGUACCUAAUCAGAAAGCCACGGCUAACUACGUG